GACGAACGCUGGCGGCGUGCUUAACACAUGCAAGUCGAACGGACAGGCCCUGCUUUUGUGGGGUGCUCGAGUGGCGAACGGGUGAGUAACACGUGAGUAACCUGCCCUUGACUUUGGGAUAACUUCAGGAAACUGGGGCUAAUACCGGAUAGGAGCUCCUGCUGCAUGGUGGUGGUUGGAAAGUUUCGGCGGUUGGGGAUGGACUCGCGGCUUAUCAGCUUGUUGGUGUGGUAGUUGCUUACCAAGGCUUUGACGGGUAGCCGGCCUGAGAGGGUGACCGGCCACAUUGGGACUGAGGUACGGCCCAGACUCCUACGGGCGGCAGCAGUGGGGAAUAUUGCACAAUGGGCGGAAGCCUGAUGCAGCAACGCCGCGUGCGGGAUGACGGCCUUCGGGUUGUAAACCGCUUUCGCCUGUGACGAAGCGUGAGUGACGGUAAUGGGUAAAGAAGCACCGGCUAACUACGUG
rnacentral:rRNA from 1 species